rnacentral:rRNA from 1 species
UAGAGUUUGAUCCUGGCUCAGAGUGACCGUUUGAGGCGUGGAUUAGGCAUGCAAGUCGAGCGAUCGUAGCACUUCGGGAGCGGCAAACGGGGUAGGAAUACAUCGGAACGUACCUUUUGGUUGAGAAUAGCGUUGGGAAACUGACGGUAAUACUCAAUAAAGUCGAGAGACCAAAGGUUUACUGCCGGAAGAGCGGCCGAUGCGAUAUUAGGUAGUUGGUGGGGUAAUGGCCUACCAAGCCUGAGAUGUCUAGGGGGUGUGAGAGCAUGGCCCCCACCACUGGGACUGAGAUACUGCCCAGACACCUACGGGUGGCUGCAGUCGAGGAUCUUCGUCAAUGGGCGAAAGCCUGAACGAGCGACGCCGCGUGCGGGAUGAAGGCCCUUGGGUUGUAAACCGCUGUCAGGGGGGAUGAAACCGUAAGGUUGACAGAGCCCCAGAGGAAGCACGGGCUAAGUUCGUGCCAGCAGCCGCGGUAAUA